rnacentral:tRNA from 1 species
GGAGAGAUGGCUCAGUGGUUAAGAGCACUGACUGUUGUUCCAGAGGUCCUGAGUUCAAAUCCCAGCAACUACA